GAUAUUUUUCUCUGUGUUGCCGAGCUUUAGACUUCAUUUAAAUCAAGGCAGAUCGUUCGUGUUCCCUUUUGAUCUGGGCGGCCAGGGGGUUUAGGGAGUGCCCCGCGUUUUCCCUUUUUAUUAAGGAAGUCGUCUGGUCUCCUGCGGAAGGAAGUCGCGCCUGUUCCGCAAUUUACUUCGGAUAAAAAGUUUCACAUUAAAAAAGAUUCGCAUGGCAUGAAUGCAAAUUAUCGCAGAAAUGUUAUUGAACUUUUCCUUCUAAAGGAGCUACACACAUACAUACCUACAUACAUGUAUUGAGAGAGGAUCAGAAGGAGUCUGUUGAAGCCAUAUAUCUAUUGGUAUCUGUUCCAUGUGUGGGCAAUAACACUGUUUCCUCGUCGUUUUCGUUUUUAAAGGUUUUGAUGCUCCUGAAACGCCUACAAGUGUGUAGGGGUAGGGACAGCAACGCGUUUAAUUGCUUUAUUCUUCUGACCAGACCAAACCAGGCAUAUGGAAAUGGAGAUGGAGAUGAGAAAGGCAUCCAGUUGCUGUUUCAAUUGCCCAUGCCCCAUGCCCUUGAAAAUAUUGCGAGAGAGCCAUUGAGAAGUCACAGAUGAUUUGAUCUUUCCGUUGGUGUUGUAUGUGCGGGUCGAAUUCUCUGAGGCGACGCUGCAGCCAUUCCCAAUGACUAAAGGACGAAAACGAUGUGUGUACUUUGUGGAACAGCCAUUACACAUGUAAAUCGGGAAUCUGAGUCCCCGACAACAAAAUAACCCCAAGGAAAACAGGCUGAGCGAUAAGCUGAAAAUGCACACAUUUAUAUGUUAAAGAUGGAAAACUGAUCAACAUAUAUAAUUACCGAAAUUUUCCAUAUGCAACGUGUGAACUGGGAACUGAACUGAAAACGGGAUCGGGAACAUGAACGUGAC